rnacentral:rRNA from 1 species
UGAGGAAUAUUGGGUCAAUGGGCGAGAGCCUGAACCAGCCAAGUAGCGUGCAGGAUGACGGCCCUAUGGGUUGUAAACUGCUUUUAUAAGGGAAUAAAGUGAGCCUCGUGAGGCUUUUUGCAUGUACCUUAUGAAUAAGGACCGGCUAAUUCCGUGCCAGCAGCCGCGGUAAUACGGAAGGUCCGGGCGUUAUCCGGAUUUAUUGGGUUUAAAGGGAGCGUAGGCCGGAGAUUAAGCGUGUUGUGAAAUGUAGGCGCUCAACGUCUGCACUGCAGCGCGAACUGG